CUUGAGUUAAUUAUUAUGAUAAGUGCUUUGUUUGAAUUGAGUACAUUCAGGUUUAUAAAUGUUUUUUCACGUGGAAUGGAAAAUAUUAUCAUUCCUAGCAAUUUAUAUUUAUUUAAUCCAAGAUGUUGAACCAGCAGUUCCCAUCGACAUUGUUAUUGAAAAAUCCGGCAACAUAUCCUACACACCCAUAGUCAUGAUGAUACCAGACAAAGAACCAUUACUGUCCAGAAGACAUCGCAAAACACCCUGGCAUUUCAUGUUCGGUCCGGAUGAACCUGUUCCAGAUGAAACAAACUCCACCAUUGAUAAUCUGGCCCAUGGUAUUGUUCUAUUCUUUGAAAAACUUGCAUUGGAAUUGAACCACACUCUGCUGGGUAAAAAUAGUGGUAAUAAAAAUGUGAAUUCACUUAGGUUUCGUGAACGGAAUGGGAUUCAAAAUAUAAUUAUCAAUUAAACGUUGUUUUUCAUAGAAA